rnacentral:lncRNA from 1 species
CGAUCGAUCUUUAUUUGUACAAAAACGCAUCGAUCGAUCUUUAUUUGGUUGUGUUUUGAGUAGUUUUUAAUUCGUAUUCAGCUUUGCCUUGCUAGAUAAACCAAAUAACUAAUAUCUGAGUACCAUUCUUUCAGCUAUCAACUGCAGGCUGUGAAACAUGGAAAAGCCACAAACAUUGAUCAACCAACAACAUCCAUGCUUUUAAGAAUGUUCAAAGGAUUCAAACUGACUGACCACUCAAUCUACUCAAAUUUUCUCAUCUUGGGGCUUGGUAUACACUAGGUUCGCUAGUACUACCAUUUUCAUAAUCAGUUUCCCCAUGAUGAUACCAAAUUUUGUAACUUCGUGU